rnacentral:rRNA from 1 species
AUGCAUAGGUAUUGCUGGAGCUUCACGGAUGUCGAGGAGGAGUGCAAGCGCCAAGGAACGACUACACCGUCCGCGAGGGAAGCAUGGAAGAGAAGGAGGAAGAAGACCCAGGACGAGUGGUACUACCGCCCAAACCAAGCGGUACUACCGCUAGAGGCCCCCAAGCGGCACUACCGUCGAACUUCCGCUCUACUACCGCUCAACCCGACAAACUCCUGUGCUCGAGCGACCCGGGUCCGGUACUACCGCCCAGUCCAAGCGGCACUACCGCUUACAAGCGGUACUACCGCCCUCCCAAGCGGUACUACCGCUCUGCCUGUGCGCAGCCACGGGCCUUUGGCCUUAGUGUGCUCAAACAAGAGAUGGUUAUUCAUCUCAUCAGCUACAAUCUUGGCCACCUGA